rnacentral:misc_RNA from 1 species
UGGCUCUCGCAUCGAUGAAGAACGCAGCGAAAUGCGAUAAGUAAUGUGAAUUGCAGAAUUCAGUGAAUCAUCGAAUCUUUGAACGCACCUUGCGCUCCAUGGUAUUCCGUGGAGCAUGCCUGUUUGAGUGUCACGUCAACCCUCGCCCUCGCGAUGUUUACAUCGCCCGUGGUGGACUUGGACCGUGCCGUAGUUGGCUCGUCCUGAAAUGCAUUAGCUUGCGCCUUUUAGAGUGCACGGCACCGGUGUGAUAAUUAUCCGCGCCAACGCCUUUACGCCUCUUCAGUGGCUCUGCUUCCAAUCGUCCCUCGUGGACAACGUAACAAAGCUUUGGCCUCAAAUCAGGUAGGACUACCCGCUGA